GAGCUUGUAGAGCGGCUUAAUUUCGACUUAAGUGGUGGAUAAAUUAGUGAAGUUCA
rnacentral:tRNA from 1 species